CAUCAGGGCGCCCACCCAGGAGAUGGACGCGCUCAAAGCGAGCAAGCCAUCCUCCAGGUCCUGGUCACCUGCGGGGACAAUCUGUUAGUAACUUUGCUUCAAAUCCAUCCAACAAAACCCGGACUUCAAGCUCCAAGGACACCUCCUUGGAGAAGGGGCAAUGGCUUUGCAACGACGGCGUGCAGAGAGGAGGGGACGAAGGGGUGGUUUCAUGCAGCGUUGGGGUAAAGGGGUCCACCCGGGAGUCCGGUCCGCGCCCUGACGGCCGCGCGGUCCGCAGCUGUGGACAGCUUCAGAGAGAAGGCGGGGUCCCGAGGCUGCAGCGCCGCGGCUCUGGACGCCGGUCGCCCCCGAGCUCCGGUUCGGCAAGCCCUCAGGGUCCACCGGCCUCCGGAGCCGGGCCCGGCCUGAGGAGCUCGCAUUCAAAUUUGGCGGGAGCGGCGUCCUCGGAGUUGGGGGCGGCGCGAGGCGAGCGGCGCACGCGCAAAAUGGCCUCCCGGGUCUUCGCGGCCUGCGCUCGUUUGCCGGCUCGUGUGAGGGGAGAGGCGGAGCGCGGCCGGGCUCGAACCCAGAGCUUGCUCUGCGGCUCAAGGACAAGACCGAAGAAAGGGACGGACUGAGGGAUGCUGCCUCUAACCUGCCCCUGACCUGGAACGCGGCGCUGGCUUCUCAACGAAGCCGUUUCCUCAGGCAUCCCACGCCUCUC
rnacentral:lncRNA from 1 species